rnacentral:rRNA from 1 species
UACAGAGGUCUCAAGCGUUGUUCGGAUUCAUUGGGCGUAAAGGGUGCGUAGGCGGCGCGGUAAGUCGGGUGUGAAAUCUCGGAGCUUAACUCCGAAACUGCAUUCGAUACUGCCGUGCUUGAGGACUGGAGAGGAGACUGGAAUUUACGGUGUAGCGGUGAAAUGCGUAGAUAUCGUAAGGAAGACCAGUGGCGAAGGCGGGUCUCUGGGCCUUACCUGACGCUCAGGCGCGAAAGCUAGGGGAGCGAACUGG